UCCCUUUUUCCUUCUUUUCUUUCUUUUCUUUUCCUCUCUUCUCUCUAUUCUUCACGCACGUUCUCUUCCUCUUCCUUUCUUUCUCCUUUCUUUUCUUUUCUUCCUUUUCCCUCAGUUCCGCAUGCACAUAGCUCUUCCUCUCUCCCUUUCUCCCUCCCAUUUCUUCCUCGUCUGUUCGUCUCACUCACUGGUCCGAGAUGCGGUGGUGCAGAGUUGGAGAUUGAGAGAGUUGCAGCUUGAGAGAGACACACGACGCAGUAGAAAGAAGAAGAAGAGGGUAGUCUCCGGCCAUGGGCUUCUAGAGAUGUGGCAAACCCCCACAACUGUAUAGAUAAUAUUUCUUGGCUGCAGGUACUCCGGUUGUAGUUGAUGGUGUUGUAGAUGUGCACUUGAAGUAUUAUGACCAAAGCUCAUCGCGACGGCCGUAAUUGAAAGACCAUGGGCGUCCUCUAUUUUAUAGGUUUUGUUUAUGGUUUGUGACUCCUGUGUCACUUGUUAUUGUAUAAACCAUUUCUGUUGUUAUUAUAUUAAGGAAAGACUUAAACAGAUAGAUGUUAAAUGACUCUUGUUGUAAUUAAUUUAUGAUAGAUGUAUAAGAUGUAAUUUCCGCUA